rnacentral:rRNA from 1 species
GCGCUAUGAGAUGAGCCUGCGUUAGAUUAGCUAGGUUGUAGGGUAAAGGCCUACCAAGGCGACGAUCUAUAGCUGGUCUGAGAGGACGAUCAGCCACACUGGGACUGAGACACGGCCCAGACUCCUACGGAGGCAGCAGUGGGGAAUAUUGGGACAAUGGGCGCAAGCCUGAUCCAGCAAUACCGCGUGUGUGAAGAAGGCCUUAGGGUUGUAAAGCACUUUCAAUUGGGGAGGAAAACCUGUCGGUCAAUACCCGGCAGCUUGACAUUACCUUUAGAAGAAGCACCGGCUAACUCCGUGCCAGCAGCCGCGGUAAUACGGAGGGUGCAAGCGUUAAUCGGAAUUACUGGGCGUAAAGCGUGCGUAGGCGGUUCGUUAAGUCAGAUGUGAAAGCCCCGGGCUUAACCUGGGAACUGCAUUUGAAACUGGCGGACUUGAGUUGAGUAGAGGGGAGUGGAAUUUCAGGUGUAGCGGUGAAAUGCGUAGAUAUCUGAAGGAACACCAGUGGCGAA